CUGUCCGGAGCUCAGAGAUUCAAAAUUGGCCUGCAACCUAUAUACAAUGUAGAGGCACUUAUCAUUAUGCAGGCAAAUCAGGUUGGACAUCACAGAGCCCACACAUUACAGAAAGAAGCGGUAUCUUUCGUCUCCUUUGUCUCACAGAAACAGUAGAGUUUAGAGUCCGCAUUAAUAGUAGAUGACCUAAUAAAUGGACUUAAAUGACACUAUUGUCUUCUUUCUUGGCCGCACCAUUCAUUUUCCUGAUUGGUUGGCAAAUCACGUAGGAAAAUGUAUGCUCUUCACACCACUUACAAUAUUAUAAAUACACAGAAUGAAAACGCAAA